ACUCAAAUGAAUUGACGGGGGCCCGCACAAGCGGUGGAGUAUGUGGCUUAAUUCGAUGCAACGCGAAGAACCUUACCAGGCCUUGACAUGCAAUUGACCGCACCUGAAAGGGUGCUUUCCUUCGGGACAGUUGCACAGGUGCUGCAUGGCUGUCGUCAGCUCGUGUCGUGAGAUGUUGCGUUAAGUCGCGCAACGAGCGCAACCCCUGUCCUUAGUUGCCAUCAUUAAGUUGGGCACUCUAGGGAGACAAACCCUCUUUGAGGGUGGGAAGGUGGGGAUGACGUCAAGUCAGGAUGGCCCUUACGGCCUGGGCUGCACACGUACUACAAUGCUCGGUACAGAGGGACGCAAAGCCGCGAGGCGGAGCAAAUCCUCAAAACCGAGCCCAGUUCGGAUUGUAGUCUGCAACUCGACUACAUGAAGUUGGAAUCGCUAGUAAUGGCGCAUCAGCUACGGCGCCGUGAAUACGUUCCCGGGCCUUGCACACACCGCCCGU
rnacentral:rRNA from 1 species